GCUCAGAGCGAACGCUGGCGGCAGGCUUAACACAUGCAAGUCGAGCGGGCGUAGCAAUACGUCAGCGGCAGACGGGUGAGUAACGCGUGGGAACGUACCUUUUGGUUCGGAACAACACAGGGAAACUUGUGCUAAUACCGGAUAAGCCCUUACGGGGAAAGAUUUAUCGCCGAAAGAUCGGCCCGCGUCUGAUUAGCUAGUUGGUAGGGUAACGGCCUACCAAGGCGACGAUCAGUAGCUGGUCUGAGAGGAUGAUCAGCCACAUUGGGACUGAGACACGGCCCAAACUCCUACGGGAGGCAGCAGUGGGGAAUAUUGGACAAUGGGGGCAACCCUGAUCCAGCCAUGCCGCGUGAGUGAUGAAGGCCCUAGGGUUGUAAAGCUCUUUUGUGCGGGAA
rnacentral:rRNA from 1 species